rnacentral:rRNA from 1 species
UUUCUUCGGAAUGACGAGGUUUGUGACUGAGCGGCGGACGGGUGAGUAACGCGUGGGCAACCUGCCUCACACAGGGGGAUAACACUUAGAAAUAGGUGCUAAUACCGCAUAAGCGCACGGGACCGCAUGGUCCAGUGUGAAAAACUCCGGUGGUGUGAGAUGGACCCGCGUCUGAUUAGCUAGUUGGCAGGGCAACGGCCUACCAAGGCGACGAUCAGUAGCCGACCUGAGAGGGUGACCGGCCACAUUGGGACUGAGACACGGCCCAAACUCC